UUAUGAUGAUGUAGUGAUAUGUUAAAAUACGAAACGGAUCUUAUCAUAGUGAUAUAUUGAAAUAAGCAAGGGAUGUGGAUUCGGAGAUAGGGAUUGAUGACUAUAUAAUUUGAUAGCAAAUGUUGCAGGAUUUUUUUAUUUUUUACUCUUUUUAUAUGCAACAUUAUGCAUAUGUCCUGCAGAAUUAUAGUAAUUAGUUAAAUUAAUAUAAUAAACAUAACCUAUAAUAAUUACUUAAUCUUUCUAGGUGAUUUAUCUCUUCCUUGGUUGCUUGACAUGAAUAAUCGACCGCUAUUAUUUCCGAAUGAUAAUUCAAGUGAUGCUCCGAAUGAUGGUAAUAGAAAUAAUCUACCUAACAAUCUCCAUCCGGAUAAUGAAGUUGAUGCACCCUUCAAUGAUGAACGCACUUUCAUUAGUCCGUUGUUGUUUGAAGCUAUCCAUGGUUUGGUUGGUCGAAUACGAAGCAUUAUGACCUCGAAUUACAAUGGUUCGUGGAUCUUUUAUUCAGAUAUCCCAAGUUGGAAAAGGGAUGAGUGGUUUCAUAUUUUUAAGCAUUUUUAUAUCGCUGGGAAAUUGCUCAUGAGCAUGCAAUUCGUGGGUUAUUCAAUAAUAAGUGCUCAGACGUACUACGAAGUGCUUUAAAGACGCCGCGGUCAAAGAAGGAAGUCCCAGACUAGUUGAAUUCCAUUUACUUUCGUGACAUGAUAAAGCAAUGAGAAUCAGAGAGCUAUCGCAAAUUUUAAAAAAGAAAUAUUGACAACCGUAAUAAGAAUCUUGAAGCAAAACUAAAUCAGUACCGCGGUGGAUGCUUGUCGACUCGUCUCGUUAUGAAAAGAAUGGAAUUAGACUUAGGCCGAAUACCAUCAGAGCUUGAAAUGCACCGAAAAUGUUGGCGAAAGCCAGAUGGCACAUAUGCAUCCAGAUUAGCGGCUGAAGAAACUCUUAUUAAUUCCACUCAAGGUACCCAAAAUAGUUUUGUUCAAGCAUCUCCAAAGAAUCUUGUUGAUGCAUACGGGAGAUUUAAUCGUAAAGGUCGAGUGCCCAGGUUAGG